AGCAGCCGCGGUAAUUCCAGCUCCAAUAGCGUAUAUUAAAGUUGUUGCAGUUAAAAAGCUCGUAGUUGAAUUUCGGGAUUAGCAGGUCGGUCGUGCCACUGGUACGUACUGGUCUUGCUGAUUCCUCCCUCUUGACGAGCCGUAAUGCCAUUAAUUUGGUGUUGCGGGGAAUCAGGACUGUUACUUUGAAAAAAUUAGAGUGUUUAAAGCAGGCAUGCGCUUGAAUACAUUAGCAUGGAAUAAUGAAAUAGGACGUUCGAUCUUAUUUUGUUGGUUUCUAGGAUUGACGUAAUGAUUAAUAGGGAUAGUUGGGGGCAUUAGUAUUCAAUUGUCAGAGGUGAAAUUCUUGGAUUUAUUGAAGACUAACUACUGCGAAAGCAUUUGCCAAGGAUGUUCUCAUUAAUCAAGGACGAAAGUUAGGGGAUCGAAGACGAUCAGAUACCGUCGUAGUCUUAACCAUAAACUAUGCCGACUAGGGAUCGGAUGAUGUUAAUUUUUUAAUGACUCA
rnacentral:rRNA from 1 species